UACAGGCGACAUGGAUUAACGGUGAGAAAUAGAAAUAAAUAGAAAUAAAUAUGCAACGUAAAGUAAUUCGGCAAAUUGCAAUCAAAACAAUACACAUUCAAUUGUGUACUAUUACAGGUUAUGUUUAUUAAAUUAAG